CAGUAGCCGCGGUAAUACGUAGGUCCCGAGCGUUGUCCGGAUUUAUUGGGCGUAAAGGGAGCGCAGGCGGUUUAGUAAGUCUGGAGUUAAAGGCAUUGGCUCAACCAAUGUAUGCUUUGGAAACUGUUUGACUUGAGUGCAGAAGGGGAGAGUGGAAUUCCAUGUGUAGCGGAGAAAUGCGUAGAUAUAUGGAGGAACACCGGUGGCGAAAGCGGCUCUCUGGUCUGUCACUGACGCUGAGGCUCGAAAGCGUGGGCAGCGAACAGGAUUAGAUACCCCAGUAGUCCCUGUCUCUUAUACC
rnacentral:rRNA from 1 species